AGGUGUAACGUCACGCAUCAGACCUCUGAUCAGGGAAGACUACCCGCUGAGUUUAAGCAUAUCACUAAGCGGAGGAGAAG
rnacentral:rRNA from 1 species